UCUUCGGAGACGAGGGUGGUCGCUCAUCCCGGACGAGCCCCCAAAUGAAAGACCCCCUCACUCAAGUCUCGGGAUGAUGUGACCCCCCAAGAACUCACGUGAGACC
rnacentral:pre_miRNA from 14 species